rnacentral:rRNA from 1 species
UAAGGAAUAUUGCGCAAUGGGGGAAACCCUGACGCAGCAACGCCGCGUGGAGGAUGACCCUUUUCGGAGCGUAAACUCCUUUUAUCAGGAAAGAAUAAUGACGGUACCUGAUGAAUAAGCACCGGCUAACUCCGUGCCAGCAGCCGCGGUAAUACGGGGGGUGCAAGCGUUACUCGGAAUCACUGGGCGUAAAGGACGCGUAGGCGGAUUAUCAAGUCUUUUGUGAAAUCUAGUGGCUUAACCACUAAACUGCUUAGGAAACUGAUAGUCUAGAGUAGGGGAGAGGUAGAUGGAAUUCUUGGUGUAGGGGUAAAAUCCGUAGAGAUCAAGAAGAAUACCCAUUGCGAAAGCGAUCUGCUGGAACCUAACUGACGCUGAGGCGUGAAAGCGUGGGUAGCAAACAGG